rnacentral:rRNA from 1 species
UACAGAGGGUGCGAGCGUUAAUCGGAAUUACUGGGCGUAAAGCGCACGUAGGUGGCGACGUAAGUCGGGUGUGAAAGCCCCGGGCUCAACCUGGGAAUUGCAUUCGAGACUGCAUUGCUGGAGUACGGAAGAGGAGGGCGGAAUUCCCGGUGUAGCGGUGAAAUGCGUAGAUAUCGGGAGGAACAUCAGUGGCGAAGGCGGCCCUCUGGUCCAGUACUGACACUCAAGUGCGAAAGCGUGGGGAGCAACAGG